GGUGGACGUUCGGAUUCGUUUUCGGGUCUUUUUGGGAUUUCGUGUUCAGUUCAGAUCUUUGAAGAUUUGGUUCUGAUUUGGAUAACCAAUUUAAAUAGCUUUGGUUUAAAUAUUUGGAUAGAGAAUUAAUAAUUAUUUAAGUAUUUUUAGAGUUUUGAGUAUUUUUUUAACUAUUUAAGAUAUUUACGUUUAAUUAUUUGUAUAUAUUUUCAAGCAUUUAUGCGAACUUAAAAGUAUCAUAUAUAUAAGUAUAUAAAUCUAUUUUGGAUACCCA
rnacentral:lncRNA from 1 species